rnacentral:rRNA from 1 species
GACGAACGCUGGCGGCGUGCUUAACACAUGCAAGUCGAACGGAAAGGCCCUGCUUUUGUGGGGUGCUCGAGUGGCGAACGGGUGAGUAACACGUGAGUAACCUGCCCUUGACUUUGGGAUAACUUCAGGAAACUGGGGCUAAUACCGGAUAGGAGCUCCUGCUGCAUGGUGGGGGUUGGAAAGUGUCGGCGGUUGGGGAUGGACUCGCGGCUUAUCAGCUUGUUGGUGGGGUAGUGGCGUACCAAGGCUUUGACGGGUAGCCGGCCUGAGAGGGUGACCGGCCACAUGGGGACUGAGGUACGGCCCAGACUCCUACGGGAGGCAACAGUGGGGAGUAUUGCACAGUGGGCGGGAGCCUGUUGCGGCAACGCCGCGUGCGGGAUGCCGGCCUUCGGGUUGUGAACAGCUUUCGCCUGUGACGAAGCGUGAGUGACGGUAAUGGGUCAAGAAGCACCGGCUAACUACGUG